UCGUUUAAAGGUUCUCAGAUUUGAUCUAGUUUUCUGUUGUUAAAUGCUUACAUGAUCUGCCUUGUUUUAGCUUUAAUUCAAAACCAACCUGUGGAUAGUUUAAAUAAUGUUGUGAUACUCGUAUCUUAUUAGGAUCCUGAAUUAAAAUGACUAAAUUUCUUCCUUCGACAUAAUAUUCCAUUAACAAUCAGAGCAUAAAGAAGCAAUUUUAUUGUGUCUGUUGAUUUCAUGAAACUAGAGCCAAAAAGUACCUUGUAAUAACACUAAUGUGAUAAUAUGACUUCUUGUGGAACCAACUGGUAAAAUUAUCCAAAUCUUUGGCAUUUGUUGUAUAAAUUGGCUGAAACAUAAUAAAAUAUAUUAGUGCAGGUGUGUGUUUUACUCCUGCUUAUUUAUUUGUUAGAAUUUAUAGUUGUGUGGGCAAUGUGUAUGUGAUCCAGAUGUAGACAAAAUCUAUCGUAAAAGAUGACUCGAUCAGAAACUACGUAUGUAGAUUAAGUUUAGUAUUUGCUUUGAUGUCCCUAUCCUCCAUUAUAAGUGAACUUCCUACAAUGUCCUGUUAAGAUGUCUGUGAUUAUGUAGUAAGGAUGUUGCUGACCUUCUGUUAAGAAUUGUGAUUUUUGAGUUUUAAAGUCUUACUUCAUCCGUGCUUAGCUGCGACUUCACAUAGUUGCACAUUAUUACUUGUAAAAAUCUAGAUUUAAUGGUUUUCUUCCUCUAACAUGAUACAAUCUUAUUUUGACUAGUGUUUUAGAAUGAUAUGAGCCCC
rnacentral:lncRNA from 1 species